rnacentral:misc_RNA from 1 species
AAGAAAUUUAAUAAUUUUGAAAAUGGAUUUUUUUUGUUUUGGCAAGAGCAUGAGAGCUUUUACUGGGCAAGAAGACAAGAGAUGGAGAGUCCAGCCGGGCCUGCGCUUAAGUGCGCGGUCUUGCUAGGCUUGUAAGUUUCUUUCUUGCUAUUCCAAACGGUGAGAGAUUUCUGUGCUUUUGUUAUAGGACAAUUAAAACCGUUUCAAUACAACACACUGUGGAGUUUUCAUAUCUUUGCAACUUUUUCUUUGGGCAUUCGAGCAAUCGGGGCCCAGAGGUAACAAACACAAACAAUUUUAUUUAUUCAUUAAAUUUUUGUCAAAAAACAAGAAUUUUCGUAACUGGAAAUUUUAAAAUAUUAAAAACUUUCAACAACGGAUCUCUUGGUUCUCGCAUCGAUGAAGAACGCAGCGAAAUGCGAUACGUAAUGUGAAUUGCAGAAUUCCGUGAAUCAUCGAAUCUUUGAACGCACAUUGCGCCCCUUGGUAUUCCAGGGGGCAUGCCUGUUUGAGCGUCAUUUCCUUCUCAAACAUUCUGUUUGGUAGUGAGUGAUACUCUUUGGAGUUAACUUGAAAUUGCUGGCCUUUUCAUUGGAUGUUUUUUUUUUCCAAAGAGAGGUUUCUCUGCGUGCUUGAGGUAUAAUGCAAGUACGGUCGUUUUAGGUUUUACCAACUGCGGCUAAUCUUUUUUAUACUGAGCGUAUUGGAACGUUAUCGAUAAGAAGAGAGCGUCUAGGCGAACAAUGUUCUUAAAGU